GGCUCUGUAGCUCAGUCGGUAGAGCAAAGGACUGAAAAUCCUUGUGUCGGCAGUUCAAUUCUGCCCGGAGCCACCA
rnacentral:tRNA from 15 species